AGAGCGAACGCUGGCGGCAGGCCUAACACAUGCAAGUCGAGCGCCCGUAGCAAUACGGGAGCGGCAGACGGGAUAGUAACACGUGGGAACGCGCCCUUCGGUUCGGAAUAACUCAGGGAAACUUGAGCUAAUACCGAAUACGCCCUUACGGGGAAAGAUUUAUUGCCGAAGGAACGGCCCGCGUCCGAUUAGCUAGUUGGUGAGGUAAUGGCUCACCAAGGCUACGAUCGGUAGCUGGUCUGAGAGGAUGACCAGCAUCACUGGGACUGAGACACGGCCCAGACUCCUACGGGAGGCAGCAGUGGGGAAUAUUGGACAAUGGGCGAAAGCCUGAUCCAGCCAUGCCGCGUGGAUGAUGAAGGCCUUAGGGUUGUAAAGUCCUUUUAACGGGGAAGAUAAUGACGGUACCGUAGAAUAAGCCCCGGCUAACUUCGUGCCAGCAGCCGC
rnacentral:rRNA from 1 species